UCGAAAGACCUUGCGCUUAAGGAGCGGCCGAUGUCUGAUUAGCUAGUUGGUGGGGUAAAGGCCUACCAAGGCGACGAUCAGUAGUUGGUCUGAGAGGACGACCAACCACACUGGGACUGAGACACGGCCCAGACUCCUACGGGAGGCAGCAGUGGGGAAUUUUGGACAAUGGGCGCAAGCCUGAUCCAGCCAUGCCGCGUGAGUGAAGAAGGCCUUCGGGUUGUAAAGCUCUUUCAGUUGGGAAGAAACGAUUACAACUAAUAAUUGUAAUUAAUGACGGUACCGACAGAAGAAGCACCGGCUAACUACGUGCCAGCAGCCGCGGUAAUACGUAGGGUGCGAGCGUUAAUCGGAAUUACUGGGCGUAAAGGGUGCGCAGGCGGUUUUGUAAGUCAGAUGUGAAAUCCCCGGGCUUAACCUGGGAAUGGCGU
rnacentral:rRNA from 1 species